rnacentral:lncRNA from 10 species
UGGGAGAUUAAUCCGACACGAUCAGCAGGGAAAGCACGUGUGUUUUUAUGAGAAUUAUGCCGAGAUAGACCACGGGGUGGAUAGGCAAAACAAUUUGGUUGAUAAGGAGCAGAUCCUGAACUAACUUGUAAGGCUUGUCUGGUUUUAGGACAGGUAAAAUGGGGGAAUUGUAAGGAGAGUUUAUAGGCUUUAAAAGGCCAUGCUGUAGC